rnacentral:rRNA from 1 species
CGGAGGGUGCAAGCGUUAUCCGGAUUCACUGGGUUUAAAGGGAGCGUAGGUGGCUUUGUAAGUCAGUGGUGAAAUAUUGCGGCUCAACCGCAAAACUGCCAUUGAUACUGCUUAGCUUGAAUCACGUCGAGGUGGAUGGAAUAAUACAUGUAGCGGUGAAAUGCUUAGAUAUGCAUUAGAACACCGAUUGCGAAGGCAGUUCACUAGGCGUGUAUUGACACUGAGGCUCGAAAGCGUGGGGAUCAAACAGGAUUAGAUACCCUGGUAGUCCACGCCCUAAACGAUGUAAACUCGACAUUAGCGAUAUACUGUUAGUGUCCAAGCGAAAGCGUUAAGUUUACCACCUGGGAAGUACGACCGCAAGGUUG